rnacentral:rRNA from 1 species
CAGUCGCCGCGGUAAUACGUAGGGUGCAAGCGUUAAUCGGAAUUACUGGGCGUAAAGCGUGCGCAGGCGGUUUGUUAAGACAGAUGUGAAAUCCCCGGGCUUAACCUGGGAACUGCGCUUGUGACUGCACAGCUAGAGUAUGGCAGAGGGGGGUGGAAUUCCACGUGUAGCAGUGAAAUGCGUAGAGAUGUGGAGGAACACCGAUGGCGAAGGCAGCCCCCUGGGCCAAUACUGACGCUCAUGCACGAAAGCGUGGGGAGCAAACAGGAUUAGAUACCCGCGUAGUCCCUGUCUCUUAUAA